GCGCAGGCGCGCCCCUGCCCCGCCCACCGCCGCGGACUCCGCCUCCGGGACGCGAGCGAGCCGACGAGCGCGCGCACUCCCGUUCUCGCCUGAGAUUCCCGCGCACGCGCGCGCCUUUCACCACCCCCACACACAGUUCCCCCCCCCACCCCCCGCCCCUCCACACACACCGCCUCCCGCCAUCCGGCUAAACGUGGCCCGCGCGCGCUCCGGCGGUUCCAGUGACAGAUGCUGCCUGCGACACAGCCUUCUCAGAUCUAA